AGGAGGAGGCCGGAUCCUGGGCUGUUUCCCUGGCUCCCUGGGCUCCCAGGCCAGUGCUGCUGGAAUCAUACUCCCGGCUGCACAGCCCCCU
rnacentral:pre_miRNA from 1 species